rnacentral:lncRNA from 1 species
UCUCCUUUUACUUUGGGUCCUUUCAAAUCCAGGUCAACAUCAGGUAUGGAGAUCUUGGGAGCUUUGAUAUUUAUUUCAGGCAUCUUGAACUUGGGGCCCUUUAGUUUCGCAUCUGGACCUUCGAUAUUCACAUCAGGAACAUCAACGUCCACUUUGGGUCCUGAGACAUCAAUGUCAGCCUUGGGCAGGUUCACAUCCACAUCUGGGCCCUCUCCUUUGAAGCCAGGCAUGCUGAACUUGGGCAUUUUCACUUUGGGCAUUUUUAAGUGCCAGUCUGGGCCUUGAACGUCCACAUCUGGGACAUCAAUGUCCACUUUGGGGCCCUUGAUGUCAACUUCAGGGCCCUUGAGAUCACCUUCCAUCUUAGGCAGAGAAAC